UCGGGUGUGGUGCACGGCGCACCACUGCGCUAAUUUGAAAGCGAUGCGAGCUUCAAGCAGUUGGUCGGGGUUCGACUCCCCGCGCCCGAA